GACGUAGGGCGCGAGUGUUGUCCGGAUUUAUUGGGCGUAAAGAGCUCGUAGGCGGCUUGUUGCGUCAGCUGUGAAAACCCGCAGCUCAACUGUGGGCUUGCAGCUGAUACGGGCAGGCUUGAGUUCGGUAGGGGAGACUGGAAUUCCUGGUGUAGUGGUGAAAUGCGUAGAUAUCGGGAGGAACACCAGUGGCGAAGGCGACUUCCUGGCCUGUUCUUGACGCUGAGGCGCGAAAGCUAGGGGAGCAAACGGG
rnacentral:rRNA from 1 species